rnacentral:rRNA from 1 species
UACGUAGGGUGCAAGCGUUGUCCGGAAUUAUUGGGCGUAAAGAGCUCGUAGGCGGUUUAUCGCGUCUGCUGUGAAAACUCGGGGCUUAACUCCGGGCCUGCAGUGGGUACGGGCAGACUAGAGUGCGGUAGGGGAGAGUGGAAUUCCUGGUGUAGCGGUGAAAUGCGUAGAUAUCAGGAGGAAUACCGGUGGCGAAAGCGACUCUCUGGACGGCAACUGACGCUGAGGCACGAAAGCGUGGGGAGCAAACAGG